GAGUAUAUCAAAUGUGUGAAUAUGUGAAAUAUAGCCAUAAAUAGGAACGCAAAGGCCCAUCAAUGAUUAUGUCUGAUGCCAAUUAAAUUGCAACUAGCUCCUGAGUUCCAAUUAGAGUUUGCAAGUUCUGAGUGGAAAAUCUAACUGUUUGAUUUCACAUUGCCUUUAAAUGAGUCGGACAAAAGCAGACUGCAAUGGCACUCACUGAAAACCUAAUUGCUACGACACAGAAAUAAUAGGAAAUUCAACUUUAAAUAAUUAAAUAAGAAUUAAAGUCGAAUAAAUUUGUGCAAAAUAACUAUUGAAAUGCACAACUUUCGAUGAUGAAAGAAAACAAUUUUGCCAAGAUUUUAUAUUUGAAAGUAUGUAUUUUGAUUUAUUUGUAAUAUAGCUUGAUAAUCGUGAUAGAACAUGAUUAUCGCAAAUUUAACAAUAUUGGGGGGAUUCUCGGGUUUUAUUAAUCGAUUCGUACAGUUAACCGUUAACUUAGAUCGUCGUGUAUACAAAUCAAUACUUUCUUUAACUAUACAUUUGGGCUAGCAGAAUGGGGGAAGGAGGUUUACAUUUCGGAUAAGGUAAAAAUCCUAACGUCUGCCAUUUUACAAUAUUUACAAACAUACUAAUUGCCAAAAAUACACAAUUAAAUGUCAAGAACUCAUGUAAGUGAAAGUUGAACUUGCUUACACUCAAAACGAAACAGAUUAACAAAUUUUAUUUGAUUUUCCACAAAUGUUUUUUGUUGUAUAUUGUUAUUAUUAUUAUUAUUAUUAUUAAUAUAAAUGUUGGGCUACUUCAUUUGGGGGAUUAGUUAAACUGAUAUUCCGAAUUUGUUGAAACAAGUUGUCGACUUUCAUUCAGAGGAAUAUCAAUGAAAGUCGUGUAAAUUGAUAUAGAAAAUUCUCUACCUCUCUCUCGCUCUCUCUCUCUCUCUCUCUCGCUCUCUCAAUAUAUGUAUAUAUAUGUUAUGAACGUUAAUCUGUAUGUAGUAUACGAAUAUUUGUUGGACAAAUCGAUCAGUUUAGCAGUUAGACAGCGUUAAGCAUACACAUACACAUAUGGAAAUAAUUGGAGAUGCUCUAUUUAAGUAAUUCUCUUUUGUUUUGGUAUUUAAAUCGUAUCUGUAUGUUAUGUCUAUAUAGUAAAUGAUUCGAUGCUGAGCACAAAUGCCAACUCAUCAUUCCAACUCAUCAUUCAUCAUUCAUCAUUCAUCAUUCAUCGUUCAUCAGUGAUAUUGUGAAGGUGCGAAGAAUGGCUCGCGAGAGCAUAAAAACAAAUGAGAAUGAGGACGAGACUCCAGGUGAGUGAGAAGCAGCUGUCGGAUCUGUGUGCCAAAUUGUGUUGGACUGCGGCGGGUAAUUCUCCUGCAAAUGCAAAAUUUGUAAUAUGUUUUGUUUUGGGCUUGCAUCAACAGUUAUUACCCGUGAGUACUUGAACUUGCACAAUUACAGUGAAUAGUCUACCAAGGGAACAGGAAUAGUUGCCGCUAUCUGAGAGCUUGGCUUCUGGUAUGGAAAUGCGACUGUUGAGCCAUUUAUCGGAUACGCUGCAAAAUAAUUGAUUGAUUGAAUGCAUGAAUGGAAUGCACAUUGAAUUCGAUGGUAAGCAUACCUGGAACGUCUAUUGGUCGGUGCUGGCAGCGGUUCCUCGUCCUUGGCCCAGGUAAUGAAGUUAGUAAAGUAUUUCUCCAGCUCCUGGCUCGAGAAUGUGCUAUAUGUUUGAUUCGCAUCGGCGAUCAGAUUUAUGUCGCUGCCCGUCUCAUUCGGUUUGUUGGCUGAGCCGCUCGAGCCCGUCGAUUUGAGUAUGCUGUGGCGCUCCUUUUGGAAGAAAUUCCGAGAUAUUUGACACUGCAGAUCCACAGUGCUGCCGGACUUGUAAUAUCUGUCGCCCACAUCGCGUUCAUGCUCAUCGAUUAUCCUUAACGGCGGCUCUGCAGCCAAAGCAAUUCAGAUAAUACGCCGAUUAGUUCAUUUUGGAGAUAUAUGUAUGUGUGUGUGUGUGUGUGUGUGUGUGUGUGUGCACCUACCCAAUAUGGUCAGGUUUGUGGUGAAGACACGCGGAGGAUGCGUUGAAACCUGGCACAUAUAGAUGCCAGCAUCUUCCCUUUGCGUUGGGUUUAUCAUCAGGCGCCAAUUGUUCGGAUACUGAAACUUGACUCGUAUGCGUGGAUCCCCGCUAUAUGUGACAUUUCCAACGGUUAGCAGUGACACCUUCUCAGUUGUUCGCCUCACCCACAUUACCUGCAAUCGGCAAUCGAUCAUUUAAUUUCCUCUAUUUGUCUGUAUUUGCAGUGAAACAUCAAA